GGAGGAUGUAAGAGCAAAAAUUUUAAGGCACUAAUAAGUAAGUCUUUGGGAGAAACUCAUUUAUUUUACCCAAUAUCUUUUAUUUUCUUAUUACUUUCUCUCCCUUAUAUAAGCACCUUAUGACUUGGGCUGCCUGUCUACUUUUCCCUAAGGUUAUCAGUGACCUAAUGACCAAAUCAAAUGGCAAUCCUUAAUUCUUGUCCUUUACAGUUUAAUUCUGUUUGCCCAUAAGACAAAUGUUCUUCCAUCAACAUCAGAGACACCACAUAUUCCUGCUUGUUUUCCAAUUGCUCAUCUCUCAACUUAACCUCUUCCCAACCUCUCAUUUGGGUAUUUGAAAGUUUGUCUUUGGCCCCUUUCUCCUCAGCAGUCUCCUUGUGAUAGUAGUGCUCUGGAGAUUUUGUGGUCACUUGACUGAAUUGCAUUUCUAACUACCCCACUAUCAGGUGUGGUGUGGUCCUAACUAAGUUCCAUCCCUUCUACAGACCUCCUUUUUCCCAGUUGUAAAAUGAAAGUGGAACUAGACAGGUGAUCUACAAAAAUAUCCCAAACUUGUAUUUCUCAUUCCUCUGAGUUCAAUUUGCAAUUCCAUCUUCAUUCAGGAAAAUCACCUUGUCACCUUGGACUUGAGUGUGGGAAAUUAAGUCUAACACCUUUCUUCCUAUCCUUGUCUUUCAUUCUGUGAUUGUUGAGCCACUGUUCUCAUUUCCAUCUCUCUGAAAUUCCUCCUUUCUCUUCUGUACACUAGUGCAGAGUUGCCUGGAUUCUGGUAUCACCAGGAUGGUCUUUCUUAGGAAUAGUUAAGCAUAUCACUACACCAAAAUAUUCAAUACCUUAUCACUUCCUGAGUAAAAUUCAAGCUUCUGCCCAGCUUUAAAAGCCCAAGAUUUUGGUACCACCCUAUCUUUUCCAGAUUUAUUUGCUUUUACCACCUCUAUAUUCCUUUAACGUACCUUGGACUGGGCUCUUAUCUCUCUAGUUGCCUUAGACAUUCUUUCAAAGGCAACUCAAAAUCCCUUCACGUGUUAAUUGUUAAGGGGAAAAAAAAAAAACAACUUUCCCUUCACACCUCACCUAACACUGUCUAAAUUUUGUAAUGCAUUUUUCAUGUAGAGCUCUGUAUUGUGUAGCUGCUGAAUCUUAACCCCAUGGGGUAUGGCCAUCUAAAUUUAGCCAAGUGCCUAGCAUAAUGCUUUACACAUGUAUUUAAUGUUUUUGAUACAGUUUGUAAGUAAAACUUGGAGGUUUUUAACUAUAUAGCAUUUAAAAGAUUAUGUGGUAUUUUCCUCGUAUCAACCAUGUGAUACAGUACAAGUAGCACCAUUUGACUAAAUAGAAGUAACUACACUUGCUUCAAGUUGUUAAUAUAUGCCUAUAUCAGUAAUAUCAAGCAUUAUUCCUAUUUAUAAAACGUGUAAUUGGGGGUAGAAGAAGAAGAGAAAGGGGAAGAAAUAAGCCCAAUAAAUAGCAUCCUUAUAAAAAAAAAAGGUCUGCUCAUGAGUUUAAUUUAGUUCCUUUAUGUAAGAAAUUGAAAUAACGUUAGCAAAUGAAAAAUAAAAGGUUUUACUUAAGCAAAUGAUGUAAAUGAAAUUGGCCAAGGGAUAAUAAAGUAAACUUUUG
rnacentral:lncRNA from 1 species